AGUGAACGCUGGCGGUAGGCCUAACACAUGCAAGUCGAACGGCAGCACAGUAAGAGCUUGCUCUUACGGGUGGCGAGUGGCGGACGGGUGAGGAAUACAUCGGAAUCUACUUUUUCGUGGGGGAUAACGUAGGGAAACUUACGCUAAUACCGCAUACGACCUACGGGUGAAAGCAGGGGAUCUUCGGACCUUGCGCGAUUGAAUGAGCCGAUGUCGGAUUAGCUAGUUGGCGGGGUAAAGGCCCACCAAGGCGAGGAUCGGUAGCUGGUCUGAGAGGAUGAUCAGCGACACUGGAACUGAGACACGGUCCAGACUCCUACGGGAGGCAGCAGUGUGGAAUAUUGGACAAUGGGCGCAAGCCUGAUCCAGCCAUACCGCGUGGGUGAAGAAGGCCUUCGGGUUGUAAAGCCCUUUUGUUGGGAAAGAAAAGCAGCAGGUUAAUACCCCGCUGUUCUGACGGUACCCAAAGAAUAAGCACCGGCUAACUUCGUG
rnacentral:rRNA from 1 species